rnacentral:lncRNA from 1 species
UCUUGGGCCGCUUCCGCGGCAUAUGGAGGUUCCCAGGCUAGGGGUUGAAUCGGAGCUGUAGCCACCGGCCUACACCAGAGCCACAGCAACGCGGGAUCCGAGCCGCGUCUGCAAUCUACACCACAGCUCACGGCAACGCCGGAUCGUUAACCCACUGAGCAAGGGCAGGGACCGAACCCGCGACCUCAUGGUUCCUAGUCGGAUUCGUUAACCACUGCGCCACGACGGGAACUCCCCACAUUGUUUUUUUCAAAUGAUUUUUAUUUUUUUCAUUAUAGCUGAUUUACAGUGUUCUGUCAAUUUUCAUACUGUACAGCAAGGUGACCCAGUCACACAUACAUGUAUACAUUUUUUUCUCACAUUAUCCUCAUUCAUGCUCCAUCGUAAGUGAUUAGAUAUAGUUCCCAGUGCUAUACAGCAGGAUCUCAUUGCUUAUCCAUUCCAAAGGCAAUAGCUGGCAUAUAUUAACUGCAGAUUCCCAGUGCAUCCCACUCCUUCCCCCUCUCCCUUGGCAAUCACAAGUCUGUUCUCCAAGUCCAUGAAUUUCUUUUCUGUGGAAAGGUUCAUUUGUGAUGUAUAUUAGAUUCCAGAUAUAAGUGAUAUCAUAUGGUAUUUGUCUUUCUCUUUCUGACUGACUUCACUCAGUGUGAGAGUCUCUAGUUCCAUCCAUGUUGCUGCAAAUGGCAUGACUUCGUUCUUUUUUAUGGCUGAGUAGUAUUCCGUUGUGUAUAUAUACCACAUCUUCCUAAUCCAGUCAUCUGUCAAUGGACAUUUAGGUUGUUUCCAUGUCUUGGCUAUUGUGACUAGUGCGGCAGUGAACAUGCGGGUGCAUGUAUUUUUUCAAGGAAAGUUUUGUCCAGAUAUUGCUCAAGAGUAGGAUUGCUGGGUAAUAUGGUAGUUCUAUAUUUAGUUUUUUAAGAUACCUCCACACUGUUUUCCAUAGUGUUUGUACCAAUUUACAUUCCCACCAACAGUGUAGGAGGAUUCUCUUUUCUCCACACCCUCUCCAGCAUUUGAUAUUUGUGGACUUAUUAAUGGGGGCCAUUCCAACUGGUUUGAGGUGAUACUUCAUUGUAGUCUUAAUUUGCAUUCCUCUAAUAAUCAGUGAUGUUGAGCAUUUUUUUUCCAUGUGCUUCUUGGCCAUCUGUAUAUCUUCUUUGGAGAAAUGUCUAUUCAGGUCUUUUACCCAUUUUUCAAUUGGGUUGUUGGUUUUUUUGCUGUUGAGUUGUGUAAGUUGUUUGUAUAUUCUAGAGAUUAAGCCCUUGUCAGUUGCAUUGUUUGAAGCUAUUUUCUCUCAUUCUGUAAGUUGUCUUUUUGAUUUGUGUGUGUGUGUGUGUGUGUUGUUUCCUUUGCUGUGCAAAACUUGUCAGUUUGAGUAGGUCCCAUUGGUUUAUUUUUGCUUUUAUUUCUGUUGCCUUGGGAGACUGACCUGAGAAAAUAUUCAUAAGGUAGAUGUCAGAGAAUGUUUUGCCUAUGUUCUCUCCCAGGAGUCAGAGGGUAUCUUGUCUUAUGUUUAAGUCUUUAAGCAAUUUUGAGUUUAUUUUGUGCAUGGUAUGAGGGUGUGUUCCAGUUUCAUUGAUUUGCAUGCUGCUGCCCAGUUUUCCCAGCACCAUUGAUGAAAAAACUGUCUUUUUCCCAUUUUAUGUUCUUGCCUCCUUUAUCAAAGAUUAAUUGAUCAUAGGUGUCUGGGUUUAUUUUGGGGUUUUCUAUUCUGUUCCAUUGGUUUGUAUGUCUGUUUUGGUAGCAGUACCACACUGUCUUGAUGACUGUGGCUUUGUAAUACUGCCUGAAGUCUGGGAGAGUUAUGCCUCCUGCUUGCUUUUUGCUCCUCAGGAUUGCUUUGGCAAUUCUGGG